UACAGAAGGCGGUAGCAUCGCGUACACAAAGUGUAAGAGGGCAGUGCACUGCUGGAGAUGUCAGUUGUACUAAGUUGAUUAUUGGUUAAUGUGAACAGGUGAUCGACGUGAUAAUGGCAUCGCGACGGGAAUUAACGGACUUCGUACGUGGAAUGGUACUUGGAGCUAGAUGCAUGGGACAUUCCAUUUUGGAUGUCGUUUUGCAAUUAAAUAUUUCGCGAUCGACAGUCAAGAGUGUGCUCGAGAUACCAAAUUUCAGGCAUUACCUCUCACCACAGACAACGCAGUGUCCAACGGCCUUCACUUUAUGACUGAGAGCAACAACUUUUGUGUAGAGUCCUCAGUGCUAACAGACGAGCAGCACUGUGGACAAAUCCUCAAAAAUAAAUGUGUGAUGUAUGAGGAACAUAUCCGUUAGGCGAAAUUUUGCAUUAAUGGGCAAUAGCAGCGUACAACCGAUGCGAGUACCUUUGGCAACAGCACUACAUCGCCUGGAGCGGUUGGACCCUGGAAAAUUGUGGCGUGAUCAGGUGAUUUAAGUUGUAGACGCUGAAGCUAGGGCUCGAGUGUAACACAGACCCCAUGAAGUCAUGGAGCCAAGUUGUCGACAAGGCACUGUGCAAGCUGGUGGUGGCUGCAUAAUGGUGUGCGCUGCGUUUACAUAGAAUGAACUGGUUCCUCUGGUCCAACUGAACCGGUUAUUCAUUGGGAAUGGUUGUGUUUAGUUGCAAAUGGUCUCCAAGUAGCCAUUCGUGGACGUCAUGUACCCAAACAAUGACGGAAUUUUUAUGGAUGAGAAUGUCUCAUGGCACCAAUUGUUUGCAGUUGAACGUUCUGGACAGUUCAAGUGAAUAAUUUGGCCACCCAAAUCGCCUGACAUGGCUUCCAUCAGACAUUUAUGCGACAUAAUCGAGUGGUCUGUUCGUCUACAAAAUCCUGCCCCAGCAACACUUUAGCAGUUAUGGACGGCUAUAGAGGCACCGUGGCUCAAUACUUCUGCAGGGGAUUUCCAGCGAGUUGCUGCGCUACGCUCGACAGGAGGAGGUCCAACACGAUAUCAGGUGGUAUCUCAUGAUUUUUGUCAACUCGGUAUGUAACAUGAAUGCGUUUUUCGAAGCUCAGCGCAGCGUCUCAGUAUAGCAAUAGCAAUCGUCUGGAAAAAGAUUGAGGGCUGUGUUUCAGCUCUGUUCUACAAAGAUUCAUAUCUGAAUUGAGUUUAGGCCAGCGGAAGAACACAGCUAUGGUGAAGCAACUGGUGUAGUUACCCACAAGUAGUGUAACAAUUAAUGAAAUAAGAGUUUUGCAGCAGUUAAUAAAACCAUAGUACUGGUCAUUGUAGUCCUCCACAUUACGCUAGAACUGAAGCAUAGACCAUGUUUAAAGAACUGUUUGAGAAUUCUGUAAUGGACAAAUAUACUGCAUUCCUAAUUACAGUGUAGAUAGGGGGAGCGAGGGGUACUUCCUCGUGCAACCACACUUCUCCCCCCCCCCCCGUCCCACCAUUCCGACCUGCCCCUGUUUCUCGUAGAUGCCCAAGGAAGCAAAUCGCCUAUUGUCUUCUUACAGGCAUCUGUAUGAGGUACACACCUACAGUCGCUGUACUAACUGAAAUCCUGGUGACACUGCCCAUAGCACGCCAGUAGAAGACCUAAAAGGAGCACUGCACUGAUAAAGUUGAAUAUAAUCAUAUGAUUUGUUAUCUGAAUUUGAAGGGGAACAAUGCUGCAGCAACUAUUGCCGAGUUGGUAGAAAUGUACAGUAACAGUGCACCAUCAUGCGGCACAGUGGUUAGUCAGGUGACACUGAUGCAACCAGUGUGAUGAAACGAGUCUGAAUGACAGAGAAGCGAUACGACAUUUCGAAGACAAUAUAGCUUGCUAGGUUCUGAGACCACUGACUACUGCGAGCUUCUGAAGCAAGACAGAGCAGAAAUGUUGCGAGUGUCAGACCAAACCACUUUACUGCUUUAGCUAGCUAGUCACCGAGGACAAGUGCUGGGUGAUGGAUGAGCAUCACCACCGUUAAAUUAUUGAGGGCAAUGGCUCAGUAGACAGGGUAUGAAUCACAGAGGAGUCUAAAGAGGGGAUCCCUGUGAAAAAAGGUAUUUACCAUAUCAACAUACCCUUAAGCGCCCAACAAUCUGAGAGUGUAAUCUCAAGAAAUGUAUAGGAAACUCUUCAGAAUCAUUCAAUUGACUGUUAGCAGUGAUGUAGUUGCUCUGCUCCAUUCAUUUGCACUUUAAUUUUCAAAAAUAAUUUUUGUGGUAAUUUGUCAACCUUAAAGAGUUUUAAACACUUAGCAAAUCAUAAUUAAUGAUUGUCAUGUGAAAAUUGUAGCCCAGUUGUCACAGGUGUGUAACUAUCUUUGUUUCAUAGGAGCAGUUGUCAUUUAUGUUACAGGCAGAGUCCUAAGUUCAUACCCUUAAGUGUUGUAACCUCUAUCCUGGGAAUGGAUUUAAUAACUCAUAUGUAUUUUUCUUGUGAUGUGUUUUACUUCUGAUCACAAAAGCUUGUUUCAGUUAGUAUGGUCAGCUUAAGAAAAAUUCCGGAAGUUCCAUUAUGGCAAAUCUUCCACCUGAAACACAUAGAUGAAAGCACCAAAAAUAAAAAAAGAUACAACUCAAGUUAAAGCGGUCAGAGUAUGGUAUGAAACAUAAGGUCUGUAGGUGUCUCCCAAUGAUGAAGGUAGUAGAUCAGAUGAUGAAGGCACAUCACGUACUCUCAUUGGGUGCGAGGGGAAAAAUAUACAGUGUUCAAAAUGCUUCAAGUGGUGACAUAAGAUGCAUUCAUUGUCAAUUAAAGUGAAAAGCAUUGUUGUGAUUUUCAUCUGUGACUUACUUGCCAUUUUAACCAAUUUUCGCACCAAAUAAGUGAGGUGAUAAUAAUGAGGAGGGGGAGGAGGGAGGACAGUAUUACAGGUCCUUUUCCGAAAAAUGAAAAUUUGCACUCAUUUGAUUCCACAUAUUUCCCUUUCUGGAUCUGAAAGAUUUAUUUAUUGGAAUCAUACUAACAGUACUGCAAGACAUGCAGCUUAAUUGCUUAAAUAAGGUUUUAUAGGCUUUCAACUUCAAACAAAUAUUAAAUUUAGGUUAGGGGAGUGGCCUAAAAUUCAGCAAGUCAAGUCUGUCUUACUUUUUCUUAUACCACUACUGGAUGCAUAAAAUUCAUCUACUGUGUAAUUUUCUGAUGGCAAUAUUAUCAUUAGUUCAUGUGGCAACAUAUUCUUUGAAGAAAUGUUAAUGAUUUACUGUAGUGUAAGGUGACCUAAAUAAGAAACAUCACUUUUCUUUUUAAGCCCACAACUUCCUCUCUUGUGCCAACCUAUCUAUUUGCUGGAUGUGUUACAAUGUCUGUUGUCCUCUACAGUUUUUAUGCUAUACAGCUCCCUCUAGUACCAUGACAGUUAGUCCCUGAUGUCUUAACAUGUUCUGUCAUCCUGUUCCAUAUUCUUGUCAGUGUUUUCCACAUAUUCCUUUCCACUCUGAUUCUGUGCAGAGCCUUCUCGUUCCUUGCAUUGUCAGUCCACCUAUUUUUCAACAUUCAUCUGUCCACAUCUCAAAUGCUCCAAUUCUCCUCUGCUCCAGUUUUCCCACAGUCCGUUUCACUACCAUACAUGCUGUUCACGAAACUUACAUUCUCAAAAUUUUCUUCCUCAAAUUAAGGCCUAUGUAUGAUACUAGUAGACUUCUGUUGGCCAGGAAUGCCCUUUUUACCAUUGCUAGUCUGCUUUUUAUGUCUUCCUUCCUCCAUCCAUUACUGGCUAUUUUGCUGGCUAGGUAGCACAAUUCCUUCAUUUCAUUUACUUCACGAUUACCAAUCCUGAUGUCAAGUUUCUCGCUGUUCUCAUAUCUGCUACUUCUCAUUACUUUUGUCUUUCUUUGAUUUACUCUCGGUCCAUAUUCUGUACUCAUUAGACUGUCCAUUCCAUUCAGCAGAUCAUGUAAUUCUUAUUCACUUUCACCGAGGACAGCAAUGUCAUCAGCAAAUUGUAUCACUGUCAUGCCCACAUAGAAUGCAAACAGUGGCAUGACAACCAACAAGCUGUUUAUCUGCAUGAAUGGCCACUAACGAACAGCGGCCAAGAAACAAGUGGACUACCCAGUUGCUGAGCAUGCUACCCAACAUGACGCGUUUCAUUUCAAUGACUGAUUCACAGUCUGUGUCAUCUGGAUCCUUCCCACUAACCCAGCUUUUCUGCACUGUGCAGGUGCGAACUCUACUUGCAAUAUGUCCUACGUUCCUGUAACCCUUAAGGCCUCAAAUUUCGUUAGUCAUUGUCCUUACCCAUCUAUCCCCUUCCCUGUUCCCAGGGGACUGAUGACCUUAGCUGUUUAGUCCCCCUUAAACAUCCCAACAACCACCACCACCAUUCCAGCAUUACACGACCUUCUAUCCCACCAACACAUCCAAUCUUUUCACUCAUCUCCUUUCCGCUCACCCUUCCACCCCACCCUCCCCUUCCCUGGUCCCAUUCCAACACUACACAGCCUUCUAUUCCACCAACAUAUCCAGUCUUUUCACAUCUCUCCUUUUCCAGUCACCCCCCCCCCCCCCCCCCUCCCCUUUCCCCCGUCCUCUGUCUAACCUCCCAACUGCAUCUAGUUGCCCCAACCUCCACCUAAUCCCUGCAUGCUCCCAUCAGCACUCUACCAUCCCCAACCCCUACCAUCCCCACCCCAGCCUCGUCCUUACACAGACCCUAUGACCUCUCCCACGAUGCCCUGCUGCUCACAGUCUGGCUCCAGGAGCCAGAGACUGUGGUUUUGUGUGUGUGUGUGUGUGUGUGUGUGUGUGUGUGUGUAAUUUUGACAAAGGCUACAUUGGUUAAAGUGACAGUCUGUUUGUUAUGCCUUUGUCGCUCAGCAUAUCUGCUAUAUAGUGAGUAAAAAUUUAAAUGACAUAUAUUCGCAAUCUCUGAAACCAACAUGUACGAAGAUUUUUCUUCAGAUACCUAAUGUAUGAUGUACAUACUGUAAAAUAUAUUUAUAUGAACAAAAAAAUACACAAAAACAAAAAGAUGGGCUCAAAUGAAUAUGAGGUCUAAAAAACAUGUUUCCCAAAUUUAGCUUGUUUUAUCACUUUGUCAACCAUUUUCUGUGUGUUCUACCCAAAAAUGUUUCCAUAUAUCAGCAGCAAGUGUAAACUGCUAAAGUAACAGUCGUCACUCAUGAGCAGCUUCUACUUUGAGUGAAAAUCUAACAGGAUAAUUAUGUAAUUGUAGUUAGCUUACUACCUAGAUGUUUAAGCAGCAACUGCCACUUGAAAGUCCUUUGAAUAUAAAGCUGAACCUUGCACACAGAGCAUAAUUCAUUCCAGAAUCUUACUUGUGGUGCGAAACACUCAUUAAGCGAAACAGUUUACCCCAUAUAAAUUAAUGUAAAAUACAAUAAUGGCUUCCACGCAGAAAAAGUACUAAAGUUUUCUUAUUCAUGCCAUUUAUUCAAAGAAAAUUAUACGUACAGUAUUAUGUACUUUGUUAUCCAAUAUACAUAACUAAUUCUUUUUUACUAGGAAGCUAUCUAUAGUCAUCUGCCAAUGCUUCAACACUUAGUUCUUUGUGCAUUUAGCAAUCUGGUGCAAUGUUGUACUCCACCGGGAGAUAUUGAGCAAAUUCUGAAGCUGUGGGGAGAAAUUGCUGUCACUUGUUAGCUCUCGCUCCAAGAAAGAUCAAAUCAGCACUGUGCCUGCAAUGAGAAGGUGCCAGUGCAACGAACAUCUAAUAAAUAGAACUUCAGUCCAAAAAGUGUCUUUGGUACAGCAAUCCUGGCUGAAAAAAAUGUUGCAAGUGCUUUGGUGCAACCUGACAGUGAAGUGUUGAGUGUACAUGUUGGCUUUGAUCACAUGUACUCUAAGAAUUAAAUUUAUCUGUCCCACAGUUGUGCACAUGUUUUUGUAUCAUGGUUUAUAGUCCUACUGGGGAAACUCGCCAUGUAAAAGAAUGAGUAACGCAUCGUACUCGGUACCUCAGGGUGAUGUGGAAAUACAAGUGUUCUUAAUAAAGAAAAUGUCACCGUU